rnacentral:rRNA from 1 species
GAUGAACGCUGGCGGCGUGCCUAAUACAUGCAAGUCGAGCGAACAGACGAGGAGCUUGCUCCUCUGACGUUAGCGGCGGACGGGUGAGUAACACGUGGAUAACCUACCUAUAAGACUGGGAUAACUUCGGGAAACCGGAGCUAAUACCGGAUAAUAUAUUGAACCGCAUGGUUCAAUAGCGAAAGACGGUUUUGCUGUCACUUAUAGAUGGAUCCGCGCCGCAUUAGCUAGUUGGUAAGGUAACGGCUUACCAAGGCGACGAUGCGUAGCCGACCUGAGAGGGUGAUCGGCUACACUGGAACUGAGACACGGUCCAGACUCCUACGGGAGGCAGCAGUAGGGAAUCUUCCGCAAUGGGCGAAAGCCUGACGGAGCAACGCCGCGUGAGUGAUGAAGGUCUUCGGAUCGUAAAACUCUGUUAUUAGGGAAGAACAAAUGUGUAAGUAACUAUGCACGUCUUGACGGUACCUAAUCAGAAAGCCACGGCUAACUACGUG